rnacentral:rRNA from 1 species
UACGGAGGGAGCUAGCGUUGUUCGGAAAUACUGGGCGUAAAGAGAACGUAGGCGGCACAGCAAGUCAGGGGUGAAAUCCCGGAGCUCAACUCCGGAACUGCCCUUGAAACUGCUGAGCUAGAAUCCUGGAGAGGUCAGUGGAAUUCCGAGUGUAGAGGUGAAAUUCGUAGAUAUUCGGAAGAACACCAGUGGCGAAGGCGACUGACUGGACAGGUAUUGACGCUGAGGUUCGAAAGCGUGGGGAGCAAAC